GUAACAAGGUUUCCGUAGGUGAACCUGCGGAAGGAUCAUUAACGAGCGCGGUACCCUCCUGGGUGCCAACCUCCCAUCCGUGUCUAUCGUACCACGUUGCUUCGGCGGGCCCGCCCCUUUUCGGGGGGCCGUCGGGGGGCAGCCGCCCCCGGGCGAGCGCCCGCCGGAGACCCCAACACGAACUCUGUCUGAAAGACUGUCGUCUGAGUGGGUUUUUGAUAAAUCAGUUAAAACUUUCAACAACGGAUCUCUUGGUUCCGGCAUCGAUGAAGAACGCAGCGAACUGCGAUAAGUAAUGUGAAUUGCAGAAUUCAGUGAAUCAUCGAGUCUUUGAACGCAUAUUGCGCCCCCUGGUAUUCCGGGGGGCAUGCCUGUCCGAGCGUCAUUGCUACCCUCAAGCACGGCUUGUGUGUUGGGCCGGCGUCCCCGGGGAACUGCCCCCGGGGACGGGCCCGAAAGGCAGCGGCGGCACCGCGUCCUGGUCCUCGAGCGUAUGGGGCUUUGUCACCCGCUCCGAGGGACCGGCCGGCGUCUUUGGCCAACCCCGUUCUCCCGGUUCCCCCCCCAGGGGAUCGAAGAACGACCCUUCUUCUCUUAGGUUGACCUCGGAUCAGGUAGGGAUACCCGCUGAACCUAAGCAUAUC
rnacentral:misc_RNA from 1 species